UGGGGAAUUUUGGACAAUGGGCGAAAGCCUGAUCCAGCAAUGCCGCGUGUGUGAAGAAGGCCUUCGGGUUGUAAAGCACUUUUGUCCGGAAAGAAAUCCUUGGCUCUAAUACAGUCGGGGGAUGACGGUACCGGAAGAAUAAGCACCGGCUAACUACGUGCCAGCAGCCGCGGUAAUACGUAGGGUGCAAGCGUUAAUCGGAAUUACUGGGCGUAAAGCGUGCGCAGGCGGUUUGCUAAGACCGAUGUGAAAUCCCCGGGCUCAACCUGGGAACUGUAUUGGUGACUGGCAGGCUAGAGUAUGGCAGAGGGGGGUAGAAUUCCACGUGUAGCAGUGAAAUGCGUAGAGAUGUGGAGGAAUACCGAUGGCGAAGGCAGCCCCCUGGGCCAAUACUGACGCUCAUGCACGAAAGCGUGGGGAGCAAACAGGAUUAGAUACCCUGGUAGUCCACGCCCUAAAACGAUGUCAACUAGUUGUUGGGGAUUCAUUUUCCUUAGUAACGUAGCUAACGCGUGAAGUUGACCGCCUGGGGAGUACGGUCGCAAGAUUAAAACUCAAAGGAAUUGACGGGGUCAUAGCUGUUUCCU
rnacentral:rRNA from 1 species